rnacentral:lncRNA from 1 species
AAGACAACAGUGGGAGCAUUUUAUAGGUGAACGAGGGACAUAUUUAUACCAAAUUGAAUAGACUGAGGGCAGUUUUGGCCCUUUUCCGUUCUUUUUAUAACAUGUUAUUUUCAUCAAUAAACACUUGUUAAUAGAUUGACUUUGUUUGAAGAAUACACCAUCUACUGGAUAAAUUCUUAAGUCUCUCUCUUACCUUCUUUUUGACUUCAUACUAAACGAACAUCCACAAGAAAAGCAUCCAAUGUCUGUAUUUCCUAUUUGUUCUCUCUUAAUAAAAUGGAGAUGGGGUCUGAUCAACCACAAAAACUAGCUCAUAAGGUGAGGAUUGCCCAAGACCAUAUAUGGAGGCAAUAGUCCAUUCCUCCAACUAAUGUGGUUCAACACUUUUCUGCACUCUCAGAUAUCUCGUGUGGACGACAUAAUGUGGCUGAAUAUUCGGUAAACCAAGUAUUAGGAUGAGUCUGGUUGUGAUACCAUGUUAAGAAAAAAUUGUGUCUAACUCAACCAAAAGUUAGCACAUAAGGUGAGCAUUGCCAAGAUCAUGGAAAGAGACAACAACCCAUUCCCUCAAGCAAUAUGAAACACUUAACAUUUGUUCCUCAUAUUAGAGACAACAACCCAUUCCCUCAAGCAAUAUGAAACACUUUAACAUUUGUUCCUCAUAUACUUGUUUCGUACUGUUUGAUUGAUGAAUAUACUAGAAAGAGGAAAACCAUGAACAUUUCUGCAUGAUGGAAUAAGAGCAACCAAUAAACACUUAACGUCCUUUAUACUCAUUGCUAACUCAUCCCUUGUUCUAGUUGUUCACUUCUUUUUCUCUGUCCUUUCCAUUUCUUAAUGACCUUAUUGUUGCUCUCAUCUAUUGCUUUGAGAGCUUCCAUGUUGCACUUUAGUUGCCAAUCUUUGGAUUUUAUUUCUUUGAUCAGAAAGUUGAACUAUGAAAAUGUGUUAACAAAUAAGGAAAUUGCUUUUUUUAUAUUUCUUUGAUCAGAAAGUUGAACUAUGAAAAUGUGUAAAGUUAAAG